CACGUGGGUAACCUGCCCAUAAGACUGGGAUAACUCCGGGAAACCGGGGCUAAUACCGGAUAACAUUUUGAACCGCAUGGUUCGAAAUUGAAAGGCGGCUUCGGCUGUCACUUAUGGAUGGACCCGCGUCGCAUUAGCUAGUUGGUGAGGUAACGGCUCACCAAGGCAACGAUGCGUAGCCGACCUGAGAGGGUGAUCGGCCACACUGGGACUGAGACACGGCCCAGACUCCUACGGGAGGCAGCAGUAGGGAAUCUUCCGCAAUGGACGAAAGUCUGACGGAGCAACGCCGCGUGAGUGAUGAAGGCUUUCGGGUCGUAAAACUCUGUUGUUAGGGAAGAACAAGUGCUAGUUGAAUAAGCUGGCACCUUGACGGUACCUAACCAGAAAGCCACGGCUAACUACGUGCCAGCAGCCGCGGUAAUACGUAGGUGGCAAGCGUUAUCCGGAAUUAUUGGGCGUAAAGCGCGCGCAGGUGGUUUCUUAAGUCUGAUGUGAAAGCCCACGGCUCAACCGUGGAGGGUCAUUGGAAACUGGGAGACUUGAGUGCAGAAGAGGAAAGUGGAAUUCCAUGUGUAGCGGUGAAAUGCGUAGAGAUAUGGAGGAACACCAGUGGCGAAGGCGACUUUCUGGUCUGUAACUGACACUGAGGCGCG
rnacentral:rRNA from 2 species